GAUCAUGGCUCAGGAUGAACGCUAGCGGCAGGCUUAACACAUGCAAGUCGAGGGGCAGCGGGAUGUAGCAAUACAUUGCCGGCGACCGGCGGAUGGGUGCGUAACGCGUAUGCAACCUACCUUAUACAGGGGAAUAACCUUUCGAAAGGGAGACUAACACCCCAUGGUAUUGAUUUAAGGCAUCUUAGAUUAAUUAAAUAUUUAUAGGUAUAAGAUGGGCAUGCGUAUGAUUAGCUAGUUGGUAAGGUAACGGCUUACCAAGGCGACGAUCAUUAGGGGUUCUGAGAGGAAGGUCCCCCACACUGGUACUGAGACACGGACCAGACUCCUACGGGAGGCAGCAGUGAGGAAUAUUGGUCAAUGGGCGCAAGCCUGAACCAGCCAUGCCGCGUGCAGGAAAGACGGCCUUAUGGGUUGUAAACUGCUUUUACAUAAGACUAACCGUAUAUUUGCGAAUAUACCUGAAUGUAUUAUGAGAAUAAGGAUCGGCUAACUCCGUGCCAGCAGCCGC
rnacentral:rRNA from 1 species